CGAACACAGACGAGGCGUGUAAGAAAAUGAUGUUUUAAGAAAUAUGUUUUAUGCCAUAUCAUUUCUUUUACUGAAAGCAAUUGGACAAACAAACAAGGAAAGCCAAGGAAAAUGCGACCGGGACGUGGAAUCGGCCCAUCUGUGAGGGGAAGGAUCACACUUCCAGCUAAGAUAGAAAUAAAGCAUGCGUGCAUCGGCUCAUCUGUGAGAGGAAGGAUCACAGUCCCAGCUGAGAUAGAAAUAAAGCCACGCGUGCCUCUGUUUCUAUGCGUGGUAAAAUAAACAAGCAACACUUGGAGGAACUAUUGAUUCUGUUAUGAAAACACAGCCUGUUUGGUUUGCCAGAUCAUAGCCGUUAUUAAUGCAUUAUUAAUUCUAUAUAAGUGCCUGCUUGUCAGAUCCAUUAACCGGGGGAGUAAUUGCCGAGGGAGGGGAGUCAGAACGUGUGUCACGCUGCUCGCUCGGUCUAGGUGGAACGAAGCGGAGAGAAGCCAUGCAGAGCAAUGGAGGCAGCCGUGUAAGGCAGUGUCCGUUUCUGUCUGUGGCCAAAAUGGCCAGGGAUAUUUUUGGCCAAGCUGAUGAGACAGAGAUUGGAAGAGGAAAGUUUCAUACUGAUACUUCGGCUGGCUGGCUGCAGGGUAACCUGCAUUUUGGGCCAUUUUUGGUUAAAUGUAUGAAAGCAAACAUCCACAUAAAGGCUGAAAUGGUUUGUCAAUGGCCCAGAGGCUGUUCCCGGGAUCUUUUGAGCCCUGGGAACCUGGAGGUACCUGCAGAGCUGAGCAGAUUGCUUCCGUGUCAAGGAAACAAGCGGGACUUGUGAGAAGGGGCGGUUUGUGAGGCCCCGGCUGCAGGCACUGAAGGUCCUGCCACCCAGCGGCACGAGCCUGCCCUGCCUGCUUUAAGGAGGAGACAGGACUAUUGACUUGGUCUGAUUUGCCUGAACUUCUUGAGUUUCUCACUGCCUGUGGAUUCCAGUUGCUUUAACACGGGAAAUCGGACCUGCUGCAGGAGACCCUGCGCUGUCUUCAAAGACAGCACUGUUUCCACUAACGCAAGGAUACAGCGUGAUUGAAACAGUGCCCCACCCAUAGGGUGGCCGGCGGGUUGAACGUCGUGCUCUGUGCAAAAACGGGGUCUGGCCAUACCCAGUGCUAUGCACGUGUUUACCACCAUUGCCUCGCCCUUCUCCCAUCUCAUGUUAUCGGUCUAUAAAGUGGGUGUCAUGAAUGACCUCUGGUAUCUGCUGAGUGGGGGCAGUGUCUGGGUGAGGCCCGAGUAGUUGGAGGCUUUGGUUUUUGCAUAAUGGGACCCCCAUUUUCCACUUAACUCAAACCAAAGCAGAAUCAUGGAAGGCCUCAAUGCAGGCAGCCCUGAAGGCGCAAGAAAGUUUAUUUUGUUCCAAGGGCUCCUGGGAGCUGGGCGAUGGGUGACCACGCCAGGAAGCAUCUUGACUUGGGUACUUUGCAGAAUCUUCCUCCCAGGGUGCCUCGACUUGCUGCCGUGUGGCAGCUUUGAUUCCCAGCCCAGUAACAAACACGUCCAUGACGCUGUGGACUGACAGAGACCACAGAGCUGGUCAACGUGAGUAAUGGGGCCCGCGCCCCGGGGGACCUCCAAGGCUGGGGGCACGGGAGCAAGUGGGUUACUCAGGCCCACACUAACCGCACUUGUAACUUCUCUCCCUGAGUCAAGGCAAGUUUUUAUUCAAGCCAAUGUAACACAAUCUUGCCAAUGACUGGAAAAAUCACUAGCUUUGCAAAAAUUUAAAAGACUCAGAUAAUACUCAAAUUUGGAGUCCUAAUGAAGUAUGUAAACCUCAUGUCCACAGACUGUGUUACUGGAGCCAGAGGGGGAAGAUCCCUGAAUAAGCCACCUGGGGCCACCCACGGCUGCUCCUUGCGUGGGAGGUGACCACAUGCGGCCGCUUCUCUGGGGAACAGGACAGAAACUGGGGUAAGUUUGGCACAGCUGCAACAUCCAAGUCUGUGUUCAUUUAAAACUAACUGCCUUUGAUUGCAUUUGACAAAAACAUUGGUCCAUGAUUGAUUGGAAAUAAAACAAUGAGGGUUUGAGACCUGGGCUCCGACCUCCCUUCUGUUCUGGGCCCAUGUGAGGCCAGGGACGGCCCGGGCAGGUGUCAGCAGCAGGAGCGUUUUUCGGGGUCCUCAUGGAGAAUGUCUCUCCGCAGCUUCUCCUGGAACGUUGGCUCCGAGGCUCAGCAACCUCCUCACACCCCCUGGGUCCACACCUCGGACCCAUCUGCCCGCCUGGCCAGCCUGCCUCGUCGUCUCCCGCGGGCUCGUGCCUCAACAGGCAGCGUGUGGAUGCCACCGUCACCGUCACAGGAGAGGCAGGUCCACCCUGGAGCUGAUCCCCUGACGAGGAAAGGAAAACACAGAGAGGAGAAGGCACUCGCCUGAGGUACCCUGCCAGACGCUGGGGACGGGCUCACACGCAGCGGCCCAAAGCCUGCUGCCUCUCGGAGCAGCAGGGGUCUGGGACGGAUAUUGAGGCACAGGGCCUUGGAGGUGCCUGUGGAGCGGCUCAGCCAGUGGGGGGUUAGUCAGUAUUUUACAGGCAAAGCUGUGGAGCUGUGCUGGUGCCUCUGUGAAGAUGCUGAACAUCUCCAGGGACAAAUUGGAGCCUGAAGCCUCAAAGUUACUGACGAUGAAGGAAAGAAGCAAACAUUCAGGAGCCACAGUGCAAGCUGAGGACAAGAGAAAGAGUCCUGGCUUCUGGGGGGUGUAAAAGCCAGAGGAGCCGAGGCCCCGGCCCACACUCGGAAGCACCUGAGGCCCCGGCCCACGCUUGGAAACACUCUCGGGCUGGAGACAUUGGCUGCAGCUCCCCGCGCGGCCUGUCCCCUCCCACUCUCCAUUAAUCUUGCACCGACACCCUCUUUAUGCUGUUGGAAAAAUCGAAACGCCAGGAGGCGGGAGGCAGGGAGAAUCCCUCAUCAGCAACGUUUAUGGUAUUGACUUGCAUCUCAUUGACUAUGUCAACAAGCGCUUGGCAUCUACAUCUGGGAACAGCCUGUAAAAUUAGGAAAGCUAAGCGGCCAUUGAAAACCCAUCACUUCGGAUUCUCCAGCCACAUAACCCUGGACAGGAAGAUGAAAAGUACCUUCUUCCCGGCGCUCGGCCUCCAGCUCUGGGCCUGGUGAAGACGGGCACAAAACAGCAGCGGUUAAACACAAAGUGAAUAGAAUUAGUCACCACUCAGUCCUGGGGCCUCAGCUGGAAAUGACCUGCAGAAUUCAAUGGAGGAGGCCCUUCGGGAGACAAAGAAGGAUGGGGCGUCAUUGUGCGAGCUUUAACGCUGCACAAAGGACGAUCAGGAGGCGGCAAUGCAUGCGUGACCCGCGCCGGGCAGGGAGGGAGGCUCUCAAGAGGCCUCCGCGCCGGGCAGUGCCCUGUGUGCCUCUGGAAAUGAGGCAGAAUUUGUGGUGCCAUCGUGCCCAGUCUUCCUGCCAACAAAAGAGUGUAUCAGGUUGGAAGUGAGUUUUACAUUUCAUAGGAGAGUGGGGGUAUGGCGGGAGUCCCUUGGAAAUAGUGGAGUUUUGCUCCUGCACAAAAAUAAGUCCUGUUCUGAGGACAUGAGUGAGCCGAGCACGUCUGUGCUCUGUCUAGAGGAGCGGGGAGCCCUGGUCAGUCCAGGUGUCUCAUAGCCUCGUGGCUGGCUCUGUCCACAGGGUCCAUGAGCUGGAGGGGCAUGGAUAAAAAUGCUUUUCCCACGACAGAGCGCGUGUGGGGGGCUGACUCUGGUUUAUCUGUGAGCACAGAGGUAUGGCCUGCUCGCCGCACAGGAGGUGACCUCGCAGAAGGAACACUUCCGCCCUGAUCUGCUGUUUGCAGAGGACGAGGGCUGUCAUCCUGCUCCUCUGAGGUUGAGGCCUCAGCCAGCAAGGCGGCGGGGUCGAGCGGGGCUUCCGAGCCAGCCACACAGGGCUCACUGGAAGCUUUGUGCUUUGCUGACCCUGUGACCCGAACAGCCACCCACCUCUCUGAGCCCCAGCGUCCUCGUCUGUAAAGUGGGGUGGCAAUAGCUUCCUGUCACACGAGUGACAGACUCUCGUUUGUUAAGCACUGUCACGUGUGGGAAGCAACUUCCUUCUGGGUUGGGGGGGCUUCUCUUAUCCC
rnacentral:lncRNA from 1 species